GGGGCAAUCGUUGUUCGGAAUUACUGGGCGUAAAGGGCUCGUAGGCGGCCAACUAAGUCGGACGUGAAAUCCCCAGGCUCAACCUGGGAACUGCGUCCGAUACUGGAUGGCUUGAAUCCGGGAGAGGGAUGCAGAAUUCCAGGUGUAGCGGUGAAAUGCGUAGAUAUCUGGAGGAAUACCGGUGGCGAAGGCGGCAUCCUGGACCGGCAUUGACGCUGAGGAGCGAAAGCCAGGGGAGCAAGCGGG
rnacentral:rRNA from 1 species